CCCCCCCUCCAGGUCUAACUUCGGGAUAAAGGGUCCCAACGAGAGUUGGGCGCAGAGAAUAGGUCCAGGCAACUGUUUAACAAAAACACAGGGCUGUGCAAAAUUGAAAGAUGAAGUAUACAGCCUGACACCUGCCCGGUGCUGGAAGGUUAAGAGGAGAUGUCAUCGCAAGAGAAGCAUUGAAUUGAAGCCCCAGUAAACGGCGGCCGUAACUAUAACGGUCCUAAGGUAGCGAAAUUCCUUGUCGGGUAAGUUCCGACCCGCACGAAAGGCGUAAUGAUUUGAGCGCUGUCUCGACAAUGCAUCCGGUGAAAUUGAAGUACCAGUGAAGAUGCUGGUUACCUGCGCCAGGACGGAAAGACCCCAUGGAGCUUUACUCCAGUCUGGUACUGGGACUCGGUAUUGCAUGUACAGGAUAGGUGGGAGGCUAGGAGAUGGUAACGCCAGUUGCCAUGGAGCCGCUGUUGGGAUACCACCCUUGCAGUAUUGGGUUUCUAACCAGCCGCCGUGACCCGGCGGUGGGACAAUGCCAGACGGGGAGUUUGACUGGGGCGGUCGCCUCCGAAAGGGUAUCGGAGGCGCCCAAAGGUUCCCUCAGAAUGGACGGAAACCAUUCGAAGAGUGCAAAGGCAGAAGGGAGCUUGACUGCGACACCGACGGGUGGAGCAGGUACGAAAGUAGGGCUUAGUGAUCCGGUGGUAUUAAGUGGGAAUGCCAUCGCUCAACGGAUAAAAGCUACCCUGGGGAUAACAGGCUUAUCACUCCCAAGAGUUCACAUCGACGGAGUGGUUUGGCACCUCGAUGUCGGCUCAUCGCAUCCUGGGGCUGUAGUAGGUCCCAAGGGUUGGGCUGUUCGCCCAUUAAAGCGGUACGCGAGCUGGGUUCAGAACGUCGUGAGACAGUUCGGUCCCUAUCCGGCGUGGGCGUAGGAUAUCUGAGAGGAGCUGUCCUUAGUACGAGAGGACCGGGAUGGACGGGCCGCUGGUGCAUCGGUUAGACUGCCAAGUCUACGGCCGAGUAGCCAAGCCCGGAAGGGAUAAACGCUGAAGGCAUCUAAGCGUGAAGCCCCCCUUAAGAUGAGAUAUCCCAUUCGAAAGAAGUAAACCCCCUUGAAGACGACGAGGUAGAUAGGGCAGAGGUGGAAGUGCAGCAAUGCAUGGAGCUGACUGUUACUAAUCGGGUGAGGGCUUGACCAA
rnacentral:rRNA from 1 species